rnacentral:rRNA from 1 species
GACGAAGGAUGCAAGCGUUAUCCGGAUUCAUUGGGUUUAAAGGGUGCGUAGGCGGACUUGUAAGUCAGUGGUGAAAUCUCUCAGCUUAACUGAGAAACUGCCAUUGAUACUGCAGGUCUAGAGUACAGAUGAUGUGGGCGGAAUAUGACAUGUAGUGGUGAAAUACUUAGAUAUGUCAUAGAACACCGAUUGCGAAGGCAGCUCACAAAACUGUAACUGACGCUGAGGCACGAAAGUGCGGGGAUCAAACAGG